CCUACGGGUGGCAGCAGUGGGGAAUUUUGCACAAUGGGCGCAACCCUGAUCCAGCUAUUCCGCGUGUGGGAUGAAGGCCCUCGGGUUGUAAACCACUUUUGUCGAGAACGAAAAUACCCCUUUUAAUAAAGGGUGUUGCUGACGGUACUCUAAGAGUAAGCACCGGCUAACUACGUGCCAGCAGCCGCGGUAAUACGUAGGGUGCGAGCGUUAAACGGAAUUACUGGGCGUAAAGGGAGCGCAGGCGGUGGAGUAAGACAGAUGUGAAAUCCAUGAGCUUAACUCGGGACUGGCAUAUGAGACUGCUCGACUAGAGUGUGUUAGAGGGAGGUGGAAUUCCUAGUGUAGCAGUGAAAUGCGUAGAUAUGUGGAAGAACACCGAUGGCGAAGGCAGCCUGCUGGGACAUAACUGACGCUGAGGCACGAAAGCGUGGGGAGCAAACAGGAUUAGAUACCCUGGUAGUC
rnacentral:rRNA from 1 species